AGGUUUAUUUGUACUUUCGUUCCUAAUAAUUAUGUCUCUUGUGAGCAAAAGAUGAAGUUUUUGUAUCACCAUUACCUACAGACCUGAAAGAGCACAAAACCCGGAUCAGAGAUGCCGUGGCCGUGAAUACCGUGGCACGCAUUAUGAUCAGUAACGUUUUCGAUGAAUACCGUAUAGAUCAUUUAGGUUCCUAACUUAUAUUCCGAAUAUUGAAAAUAGUAUUUAACGUUAACGAUUUUUGUUGUUAGAGUUAUUCAUAAAC